GGACGGACAGCGCUAAAUCCACACAGCUCAUCGCCCUGAUCAUGAAUAUAUAUACUUUAUGGGUCUGCCACACCUCCUUCUGCAUGUUGCAUACAUUU